GAGAGUAGGCUUCUUUUUCCUGUUUCUCAGCAUAAAGUUAUUUAAUUGCACAGAAAGUGUGUGGGCUGCGGGUGCGAGCUGCUGGUGACCCUAGCCCACCUGUAGGAAAGGUGAAAGAAAGAGAAAGGAAAGAGGAGAACGAGAAGGGGGGAGGAGGAGGGCUUUUUGGUGAGGGGGUAGUUUGGGUUCCAAUCCUGAAGACCGCUACCCUCACCUGCCGCCAGGAGUCCCCAAGCAGGGAGGGAGCCUCGGGAGGAAGAGAGAGACGGCUGGGGCUGAGAAUGGGACUGGGGUUGGGGGCGGGGCAGGAUAGAGCACCUGGUGGGAGGAUAAGGAGCUCGGCUCAGUUUCUAGGCUGCUCGCGGAGGGUGUUGGUAGGAAUAGUCCAAGGCUGGACUGCCUGAUCCUAGGUUACAGGUAAAAGGGGAUAGUUCGGGAGCCCAGGUAAUGGGGGUGGGGGUGGGGAUGGGGGCCCGGCGAGCCAAUCCUUGCCUGGAGCCCUGGAGUUGUUCCUGCUGGGUUGGGCUCGGCUGGGCUGCUGCGUUUCCGCGGCCAGGGCACCCAAGAGGGGGAAGUUUCUUGGCUGGAAAGGAUGCAAUUGUGUUGAGCUAUUCCUGGUAUGUCAGGCACUGGCCCUGCAGCGGUGAGCUCUGAAAGCUCCGUUUCCAGGGGAUCCGGGAAGGGAAUGAAGAUCCGCUUGGGGACGGAUAGGAAAAGAGCCCGGGAGGGAGGGGAUGCGACUGGACGAGGCAGGACAGGGCAGGGCAGGGAGGGCUGAGUGGAGCUCCAAGUGCUCUUUCAGCGGCUCCCGCGAGCAUCUCCUUUCCUUGCGCUGCCAAAGCUCAAGUUCCCCGGAGUGGCGCGCUGCGCUUCCAUUUGGGGCUUGCCCUGCGACGGGGAUUUGGCAUCCCAUGGUUCAGACAGUCUAAACCACAAGGGCUGGCAUGGCCAAAUGCCCAGGGAACAACCUCAAGAGGAGGAGGCGGCGGGCGGGCGGAAGCGGUUGCUCCACAUGGCCCAGAGCUUGAAAGCAGCAGGGACGGGACUCUAGACGCCGCCGCCAACAAACCCGCCACGACCCGGGAAACUGCGGUGAUUCCGGGGGAGGGAACGGGAGCGUAGAGGAGGGGAGCUGCUUUUGAAGUUCAAACAGUUCUUGGGGCUGUUUACAACCCCUCUGUCUCUCUCCUCCUCCUUCUCCCCUUCUCCUCCCCUAUAGGGCCCCCUCCCCCGCCGCCUCCCAUCUUUCUCCUCCUCUUUGACUGCCCUGGUCCCUGCGGACCCCGGUUCGUUUUCAGGGUUUUAUAGAAAGCAGCUUCUUCAAAUUCUUGUGGUUUCGGGGCAUUAACAAACUCCAGAGAGCAACAAAGGGAACGGGAGACCCGGGGCAUUAAAAGGCAGAGCAGAGUGACAGGCGGCACUGCCUCUUGGUCCCCAAUCCCAACCCCGGAGCAGCUUCGUUAAACUGUGCUGACACUCCUCCCUCUCCCCAUCCCGCCCCUCCUCGCCCACCCACCCAUUUCUCUCUUUUUCUUUUUUUUUCCCCCCCUCCCCUCUUCCUCUAGUCAUGGAAGGGAGAGAGGAUGCGGAGUCCAACUGUGAUGUAGCAUUCGCUGAAGCUCAGAGAUGGGUGGAGGCAGUUACUGAGAAAAACUUUGAAAACAAGGAUUUUCGAGCAUCUCUAGAAAAUGGUGUCCUGUUGUGUGAUUUGAUCAAUAAGCUUAAGCCUGGAAUCAUUAAAAAGAUCAAUCGUUUAUCUACACCAAUAGCAGGUUUGG